CUCCUACGGGAGGCAGCAGUGGGGAAUUUUGGACAAUGGGGGCAACCCUGAUCCAGCAAUGCCGCGUGUGUGAAGAAGGCCUUCGGGUUGUAAAGCACUUUUGUCCGGAAAGAAAUCCCCUGCUCUAAUACAGCGGGGGGAUGACGGUACCGGAAGAAUAAGCACCGGCUAACUACGUGCCAGCAGCCGCGGUAAUACGUAGGGUGCGAGCGUUAAUCGGAAUUACUGGGCGUAAAGCGUGCGCAGGCGGUUUUGUAAGACAGGCGUGAAAUCCCCGAGCUCAACUUGGGAAUGGCGCUUGUGACUGCAAGGCUAGAGUAUGUCAGAGGGGGGUAGAAUUCCACGUGUAGCAGUGAAAUGCGUAGAGAUGUGGAGGAAUACCGAUGGCGAAGGCAGCCCCCUGGGACGUCACUGACGCUCAUGCACGAAAGCGUGGGGAGCAAACAGGAUUAGAUACCCUGGUAGUCCACGCCCUAAACGAUGUCAACUAGUUGUUGGGGAUUCAUUUCUUCAGUAACGUAGCUAACGCGUGAAGUGACCGCC
rnacentral:rRNA from 1 species